rnacentral:rRNA from 1 species
GCCGGAAAACUCACCAAGGCCGACGGACAUAUGAAGAUCAGCGUAACGAGCUUAUCGGAUUGUUCGAGAGGUGGUGCAUGGCCGUCGUCAGUUCGUACUGUAAAGCGUUCUGUUAAGUCAGAUAACGAACGAGACCCGCAUCCUUAUUUGCGACCCUCAUGUCCGCAUGAGGCGCACCAUAGGGAGACCGCUGGUGUGAAACCAGAGGAAGGCGCGGGCAACGACAGGUCAGUAUGCCCCGAAUGUCUUGGGCUACACGCGCGCUACAAAGGACAGGACAAUGGGAAGCCACGCCGAGAGGCGGCGCUACCCCGAAACCUGUUCAUAGUUCGGAUCGAGGGCUGUAACUCGCCCUCGUGAAGCUGGAUUCCGUAGUAAUCGUGUUUCAACAUAGCACGGUGAAUAUGCCCCUGCUCCUUGCACACACCGCCCGUCAAACCAUCUUAGUUGGGGAUGGAUGAGGCUGCGUUUAAAUGGCGUAUUCGAGUCUGUCUUCGACAAGGAGGGUUAAGUCGUAACAAGGUAUCUGUAGGGGAACCUGCAGAUG